UGUGAACGCGGGGCAAGCGGCGGCGGUAAUCCGGGUGGGGGUAGCGUUGGUCGGAAUGACGGUGCGGAAAGCGCACGUAGGCGGAUCAGAAAGGAAGAGGUGAAAUCCCAGGUCUCAACCUUGGAACGGCCUUUGAAACUCCUGAUCUUGAGGUCGAGAGAGGUGAGUGGAAUUCCGAGUGUAGAGGUGAAAUUCGUAGAGAUUCGGAGGAACACCAGUGGCGAAGGCGGCUCACUGGCUCGAUACUGACGCUGAGGUGCGAAAGCGUGGGGAGCAAACAGGAUUAGAUACCCGGUAGUC
rnacentral:rRNA from 1 species